UACGAAGGGUGCAAACGUUGCUCGGAAUCAUUGGGCGUAAAGCGCACGUAGGCGGCCUUGUAAGUCGGAUGUGAAAUCCCUCGGCUCAACCGAGGAAGUGCAUCCGAAACUGCGAGGCUCGAGUAUGGAAGAGGGUCGCAGAAUUCCCGGUGUAGAGGUGAAAUUCGUAGAUAUCGGGAGGAAUACCAGUGGCGAAGGCGGCGACCUGGGCCAAUACUGACGCUGAGGUGCGAAAGCGUGGGGAGCAAACAGG
rnacentral:rRNA from 1 species